GGUGCUGUAGACUUUCUGGUAAAGUCGGCUCUAUAGAAAGGAGGAGAUGCGGGUUUGAGUCCCGCUGGCACCC